rnacentral:lncRNA from 1 species
GCUGUAUUAAUCCAUUCUGGAAGAACGUCAGGCCUCUGAGUUUCUCAUCUUGACAGGCUGCGACUGGAUGGCUUUGUAAGAGGGUUAAGAUUUAUAGACUGAAGCGAAGUAAGUUGCUCCUGAACAAAUACUUCUUUUAGUAUAUAUUCUCUGACUCUGGGUUUCUUGCUCAAAGCUUCUUCCUUGUGCAAGGAAAAACAGAAGAAAAAGCAUGCCUUUAAGCAUACUCAGUGAAAGAAUAAAUACUGAAAAUAUUAAUAAUUUCUCCUAGGUUUUGGUGUUUGUGACUCACUUUAACAUUCUUAGUUUUAUUUUCAUUUGCUUUCAGGAUUUUAGGACCUGAACAGACUGCAUAAAAAAAGAAAUGUUUCAUUGAAAUAUUCAUUUGCAAGAGAAUAUAAAGCCACAAAGUGCAAAUAAUAGUAUUAGUUCUCAAUCUAUGCUAUUACUUCUUAUGCUCAUAACUCCAAUCAUGUCACUCCUCUUUCAGAUAUAAAAAGGCUGGUGAGAAGCAAGAAGAAAGACUGAAGCAACCUCCGUCCUAAGGAAGUGUCGGCUAGCUGAGUGCUGCCCUUUUCUCUGUUCUGUAUGUGGGAGACAUUUUCUGGCUGUUCAUUCCAUUUG